rnacentral:rRNA from 1 species
UGGGGAAUCUUGCGCAAUGGGCGAAAGCCUGACGCAGCGACGCCGCGUGAGUGAUGAAGGCCUUCGGGUUGUAAAGCUCUGUGGGGAGAGACGAAUAAGUAUUGGCGAAUACCCCAGUGCGAUGACGGUAUCUCCUUAGCAAGCACCGGCUAACUCUGUGCCAGCAAGCCGCGGUAGACAGAGGGUGCAAACUGUUCGGAAUUACUGGGCGUAAAGCGUGUGUAGGCGGCUUGGCAAGUCGGAUGUGAAAGCCCCGGGCUCAACCCGGGAAGUGCACUCGAUACUGCUGAGCUUGAGUGUCGGAGAGGUUGGUGGAAUUCUCGUGUAGAGGUGAAAUUUCGUUAGAUAUCGAGAGGAACACCGGUGGCGAAGGCGGCCAACUGGACGAACACUGACGCUGAGACACGAAAAGCGUGGGGAGCAAACA